rnacentral:rRNA from 1 species
UACGUAGGGGGCAAGCGUUGUCCGGAAUCAUUGGGCGUAAAGCGCGUGUAGGCGGCCAGGUAAGUCCGUUCUGAAAGCCCGGGGCUCAACCCCGGGAGGCGGAUGGAUACUGCUUGGCUCGAGUCCGGAAGAGGUGAGUGGAAUUCCCGGUGUAGCGGUGAAAUGCGCAGAUAUCGGGAGGAACACCAAUGGCGAAGGCAGCUCACUGGGACGGUACUGACGCUGAGACGCGAAAGCGUGGGUAGCAAACAGG